rnacentral:rRNA from 1 species
AGCAGCCGCGGUAAUUCCAGCUCCAAUAGCGUAUAUUAAAGUUGUUGCAGUUAAAAAGCUCGUAGUUGAAUUUCGGGGUCAGUAGAUUGGUCGUGCCACUGGUAUGUACUGGUCUCACUGGCUCCUCCUUCCUGAUGAACCGUAAUGCCAUUAAUUUGGUGUUGCGGGGAGACUGGACUGUUACUUUGAAAAAUUAGAGUGUUUAAAGCAGGCUAACGCUUGAAUACAUUAGCAUGGAAUAAUGAAAUAGGACGUUCGAUCUUAUUUUGUUGGUUUCUAAGAUUGACGUAAUGAUUAAUAGGGAUAGUUGGGGGCAUUAGUAUUCAAUUGUCAGAGGUGAAAUUCUUGGAUUUUAUUGAAGACUAACUACUGCGAAAGCAUUUGCCAAGGAUGUUUUCAUUAAUCAAGAACGAAAGUUAGGGGAUCGAAGACGAUCAGAUACCGUCGUAGUCUUAACCAUAAACUAUGCCGACUAGGGAUCGGAUGAUGUUAAUUUUUAAUGUACUCA